AAAAAGGGCUUCUAUUGUGAGUGGCACACAUAGGGCAGCUCCAUUGCUCUUUGUGCAGAAUUGACAUCAAGAGAUUUCAGAAGCAUAAUUUUUUGUUACCCAGGCAGCUUGUGAUCAUUGGUCCUGAAAGAAAAAAAAAAAAAAGAGUCAGAUGCUUAACCGACUAGGCAACCAGGUGCCCCU
rnacentral:snRNA from 1 species